rnacentral:rRNA from 1 species
GGUGAGUGUACCUUUCGAAUAAGCACCGGCUAACUACGUGCCAGCAGCCGCGGUAAUACGUAGGGUGCAAGCGUUAUCCGGAAUUAUUGGGCGUAAAGGGCUCGUAGGCGGUUCGUCGCGUCCGGUGUGAAAGUCCAUCGCUUAACGGUGGAUCCGCGCCGGGUACGGGCGGGCUUGAGUGCGGUAGGGGAGACUGGAAUUCCCGGUGUAACGGUGGAAUGUGUAGAUAUCGGGAAGAACACCAAUGGCGAAGGCAGGUCUCUGGGCCGUCACUGACGCUGAGGAGCGAAAGCGUGGGGAGCGAACAGGAUUAGAUACCCUGGUAGUCCACGCCGUAAACGGUGGAUGCUGGAUGUGGGGCCCGUUCCACGGGUUCCGUGUCGGAGCUAACGCGUUAAGCAUCCCGCCUGGGGAGUACGGCCGCAAGGCUAAAACUCAAAGAAAUUGACGGGGGCCCGCACAAGCGGCGGAGCAUGCGGAUUAAUUCGAUGCAACGCGAAGAACCUUACCUGGGCUUGACAUGUUCCCGACAGCCGUAGAGAUACGGUCUCCCUUCGGGGCGGGUUCACAGGUGGUGCAUGGUCGUCGUCAGCUCGUGUCGUGAGAUGUUGGGUUAAGUCCCGCAACGAGCGCAACCCUCGCCCCGUGUUGCCAGCAGAUUAUGCCGGGAACUCACGGGGGACCGCCGGGGUUAACUCGGAGGAAGGUGGGGAUGACGUCAGAUCAUCAUGCCCCUUACGUCCAGGGCUUCACGCAUGCUACAAUGGCCGGUACAACGGGAUGCGACCUGGUGAGGGGGAGCGGAUCCCUUAAAACCGGUCUCAGUUCGGAUUGGAGUCUGCAACCCGACUCCAUGAAGGCGGAGUCGCUAGUAAUCGCGGAUCAGCAACGCCGCGGUGAAUGCGUUCCCGGGCCUUGUACACACCGCCCGUCAAGUCAUGAAAGUGGGCAGCACCCGAAGCCGGUGGCCUAACCCCUUGUGGGAUGGAGCCGUCUAAGGUGAGGCUCGUGAUUGGGACUAAGUCGUAACAAGGUAGCCGUACCGGAAGGUGCGGCUG